rnacentral:lncRNA from 1 species
CUGGAGGCCGUCCAUCCCGGGUGCUGGGGGAACUGUCCAAUCAGUGCGCAGAGGAAGAGGAAGGGCGGGCUUCCGCAACCUCUGGCUUUUCUUCCCCAGCGACUCGGCUUCUCAUCCUUCAAGCCAAGAGUUCUCUGCUCCAGGGACUCAGGUGACUCUGCUGCCUGUGACCCCCCACACCCCCAUCUCGGGUGCCCGGAGGUUCCUCCAGAGGACCCCGGGUCACCACAGAAGACAAAAAUGAGCAAUUUUAGACUUAUAGUUUGUUAGUCAAUGUU